UACCCUGUGAGGAAGAUCUCCCAUAAUUGAUAGGAAGUGCCGUAUGACAAUCUAAACGCAGCGCCAAACGAAGAAUUUGUUCUUUGUGGCGCUGUGUGUGUGAUUUGGAACGGGUCUCUGAGGGUU
rfam:Vigna radiata var. radiata cultivar VC1973A chromosome 5, whole genome shotgun sequence